CGUGCGUCCACAAGCCUCCCGCCAGCCGCUACCUGACGCCACGCGCCCGCCUGCCUGCCACCGCCCCAGGAGCCACGACCUCACGCUCGCCGGCGUCGCCUGCCACCGCCCUAGGACGUCGCGACCUCACGCGGUCACGCCCACUGGCCGCCACCUACUAGCCUCAGCCACCCGUUACCCCCUGCCCCCCGCGCCCGAGAGAGAGUUGCUGAGAGAGAGAGCACACCGGAGAUCUAGGGUUUUGGUGGUAUUUUGGGCUACUGAUAGGCUAUUGGGUUGAGGAGGCAGCCCAAAUGAGUGGGGCUUGAUAAAUUUUUUGAGAAAUGCAUAUAUAUACUCUUGUAUUACUAGUUGGCCCACGAGUGGGGCUUGGG
rnacentral:lncRNA from 1 species